GCUCCUGUAGUGUAAUGGAUUGCGCGUUGGACUUCUAAUCCAAAGGUCGUGGUUUUGAAUUCCACCUGGGAUG